rnacentral:tRNA from 1 species
GGAGGGGUGGCUCAGUGGUAGAGCGUGUGCUUAGUAUGCAUGAGGUCCUGGGUUCAAACCCCAAUGCCUCCA